ACGAACGCUGGCGGCGUGCCUAAUACAUGCAAGUAGAACGCUGAAGGAGGAGCUUGCUUCUCUGGAUGAGUUGCGAACGGGUGAGUAACGCGUAGGUAACCUGCCUGGUAGCGGGGGAUAACUAUUGGAAACGAUAGCUAAUACCGCAUAAGAGUAGAUGUCGCAUGACAUUUGCUUAAAAGGUGCAAUUGCAUCACUACCAGAUGGACCUGCGUUGUAUUAGCUAGUUGGUGAGGUAACGACUCACCAAGGCAACGAUACAUAGCCGACCUGAGAGGGUGAUCGGCCACACUGGGACUGAGACACGGCCCAGACUCCUACGGGAGGCAGCAGUAGGGAAUCUUCGGCAAUGGACGGAAGUCUGACCGAGCAACGCCGCGUGAGUGAAGAAGGUUUUCGGAUCGUAAAGCUCUGUUGUAAGAGAAGAACGAGUGUGAGAGUGGAAAGUUCACACUGUGACGGUAUCUUACCAGAAAGGGACGGCUAACUACGUG
rnacentral:rRNA from 1 species